ACCCCAAUUUCCAGCACAUCUAAACCCUAGAAGAAGAAGAAAGAAAAAGAAAGAAAGGAAGAAAAGCUUGGUUUUGUAAUUCAAGCAAGCUAAGCUUGAUGAUUAAUGUUUUGAAGGAAUAUUGGAGUGCAAGUACAGGUCAAGCAACCAUAAAGCGAAAUUGCAUUCUCGUUGUGGCUAGAAAUUCUCAGGUG